AGUCACUGACAUUAGAUACCCCCGUAGUCCAGGGUGUAAACGCUGCAGACUUGGUGUUGGAAGCCCUUUGGGGGCAUUCAUGCCGGAGAGAAGUUGUUAAGUCUGCUACUUGGGGAGUACGUCCGCAAGGAUGAAACUUAAAGGAAUCGGCGGGGGAGCACCGCAACGGGAGGAGCGUGCGGUUUAAUUGGAUUCAACACCGUAAACUCACCAGGGAAGACUGUUACAUGAAGGCCGAGAUGAAGACUCUGCCAGAUUUUCAG
rnacentral:rRNA from 1 species